CUUCAAUCCAAAAGAUCCGUAGAUCAACUUUCCAAUCUGUAAAUUUCUAGUGUCCUCAAAUAAUACGUACGAUAACAUACUAUAAAUUGGUGAUGACCCAACAGUCGGAUUAUCGAUUACUUCAAUGGUCAAGUUGCGGACCAUUACUAAAUUAGGCUCACACAACGGAAUUUCGUCAAAUGGAUGUUAAAUAUGGAAUCAUGGUAUCAAAUUUAGCUUAGAAAGGCCAACUAGUGUCUCGAGCCAUGCGUUGCACGUAGCGGUCGAUGACCCUUAUUCUCCGAAAAAUUUGCCUAACACCAAAAUUACUCAAAUUAUACACAAAAAAAGAUAGUGAAGAGUGGAGUAACUUUUAUACCUGACUCGACGACUGAUUUCACCAAGAUAUGCUUGAAAUUGGCAAGGAACAAUUGGGACACCCAAAACCCUCGAACACCGAUUCGCCCUAAUCGAAUUUUGAACGUCUUCAAACCCAGUCGGGUUUUGCUAUGCAGGUCGAAUGAGGCUUGGUGAUAGUGGUGGCUGACGUUGAGGUGGCCGAAACGGAAAGUUUGUCGUCAAAAUCGCAGAGACUAACUAGUAUUCCCCUACUGUGUAAUGUUGCCAAACGGGGUCGACAAGAGAUGGGUUAGGUUCGUGAUAGUGAAAGAAGUCUAGAGAUGAUGAUAUCGACACCUAGUGUCGUCGAAAAAAGGCUCAUAAAUUUCCUAGAAACCUUCCACUAUUUCGCAGGUUUUCAAGGAUUAUACGGGUCACACGGGUUGACCUCUCCUCCCCAAAUACCACCCACACAUGUGGCUUAUCUCCAAUGGGAAGGCUCUCCCACUUUACUGAAGCCGUCCAGAAAAUGGCCUAAUUUUACCAUACCCUUGCCUAUUCCCUAAUUUCUCCUUCAUUGUAACUCUGUUUCCCAAACAAUUUUCGUGAACGCAUUCGCGGGUUCGAACUGUAUUAAAAAGAUACUAAGUUUGAUCUUGAAAGAUCUAUAGAUUUUCAAUGAUUAAUUACGAAAAAUCCAACUUUAUAACCAAGUAACCAAAAUACAAAAUGGAAAACAUAUUAUUUUUCCGAAAGUAUGAAUUAUAAUUACGUAAAAAUUCAUUCAAAAUAUGAAUUACGAAUUAAUGAAUAGAGGAGACGGGAUUUCACACUACAUCUUUAGGAUAUUCUAGUUUUCCUUGUAGUUUGUGGCAAAGGUCGCUGGUCGAGGAAUAUGAGUUCACUCUUAAUGAAAGCACCAAUAGUUGAAACCAAAUUCGCACACCAUCACGAGAAGUGGAGAUGCACAAACUUGAUUACCUGUAAAAUAGCAAACAACGGUAAGCAACCUAGGACUAAUGUGGUGCCAACCAAAGGCUCCGUAAUGACUAAGUUAGUAAGCAAUAUUUGAGACUCAAGCAGUAGGCAAGAGAAUAAAGUAUAUGGUAAUUACGUUACCCGAGAUGAACCAUAAAAGAAUGUAUGUAUACUAGUAGAGAGAGAGACCUUUUAGGAUAUAGAACCUAUAUUAAACUGGAAAAAAUCCAAGAUGAUAUUUAGGAGUAGAUAUUACAUGUUCUUAGAUAUGUGAUCACUUGCAACAGACGUCAAAUCCCUAGAUUAUAGGAAUAUUCAAGAAUUUAAGAAAACCUAGCUGAUUCUAUACUGGAUCAGGUUUCUAUAUCUUGCAGAACAAGAAUGCUCUAUCUUAACGAAUUAGAUGGACUUCACCCACUUAUCCUGAAUAGGAUGAUGGUGACAUCGCUGAUUGUUUAUACAGCUUCGUGAUAGAGAUUGUUGAGUCCAUAACCGAACUUCUGAGAUAUUCGUGUUCUGAUCCAUCUUACUUUGGCCCUAGAAAAUCAUGGUCCCACACCAAUUAAAUUGGGAGACUAUCUAACCAAUUAAAUCGGAAGACUAUCUAUGAGGGAGUCUAGGAUAAGAUAUCCAAUCUUCUUAGGAUUAUGUUUACGUAUCCAAUCCAAAUAUAUCCUAAUUUGACUUGAAUUAGGGUUUUCUUACUUGGGAGACAAGUAAUACAGAUUGCGGAAUGUCUAAUUGGCUAUGCCUCUAACUAAUCAACCUGUUGGAAUAACUUACUCUGAUUCUGAUUAGAAAGCUUGACUAGUUGAUCGUCUGAACUUCAUGGGCUAUAGACAUUCUGGUCAUUCUUGCCACCCAAGGUUCAACAUGUCAUGGUUCCAAAAAAUCAUGGUCCUACAAUGUCAAUUUAGUAAUGGUCAAAGCCUUUUUAUGGUUGCAGAUAACGCUUUACCGCAACGAUAGAACAUACUCAUGUUUAUGUAUUUUGUGCGGAUUUGAUUUCCACUGAUCCAUCACCUCCCUAAUAACUCAUAAUUUAACCCACUAAAGCUAUCAGUUGUCUAAAAUAAAAUUAAAAAAAAAAAAAACACUUUUAUGGUUAGGUAUGAGUAUGUAAAAUUUUCCCCAUCAAACUUUGUUUUAGCCUAUUACCCCUAUAAACUUUUAUAAUGGGCCAAUUAAAGCUCAGGAAGAAAACUAGUCGAUUAUUGAUUUUCUGAUUUUCAUAUGAUUAGAUUGUGAUGUCAUCACCAACUAUGUAGGUUUUUAUGAUUAUCAUAUUGUCAUUCGCAACCCCGGAAAGGACAACACGUGCCUCUCCCAUGCAUUUUAUACGUGCCAUAUAUAUGCUUCAGCUUCAAUAAGUAUACCAUAAUGUAACAUUGUUGAAUUAGUACCGCAACAUGACUAUAUUACAAGCAUACUGUAAUAAUUAAUAGAUUAGGAAAUCAAAUUCCACAGCAAAGGUGGCAAGCCUCUCGAAUAUUAUGCUUGAUAUGUAUUUAAUUAUGAAGAAAAAACUUUGACUAUGUAGAGAUUAUUUGAGAACCACAUGCAUAAAUUAAUAAUCAAAAUAGAAAGCAUGAACUCAAAAUAUUUAAGCCCUAUAAAAUUUAAGCCUAGAUGGUGAACCAAGACUCUUUGAAAAAAUGAAAGAGGGAAUUUGAACUUCAUACCCUUCAAGCUCAUCUUUGUUUUCACAAGGCAAUUACCCAACUGGAGGGCUUUCAAUUCCUAUCCUUGCUCAUUGUGUAACAAACCGUCCCUAAUUUUACAACUUUAUUAAUUUUAAGUGUGAAUUGACUAAAAUGCCCCUAGAGGCGAGAUUGUUGACUUUCGUUGAUCCUCAUUUUGUGACGCAUAUGAGAUACUAUUUUACUGUAUUCAUGUAGUACUUGUUGCUACAAACGCGUGGGCACAAACGGAAUUGAAAUCGGAGUUACAAUUAAAUCCCUAUCCCUGAUCUCUCGAACUCUCUCUUCCCUCAGCCUAUCUCUUUGUUAACUCUCUAUUUCUUUCACUCACCCUCACUCUCUGAUGGAUCAUCAAGCACCACCAAAACCACCACGUCGUCGCCACUUCGGUGAGCACCACCACAACCCACCUGACCACCUAUUUCAUAAACCUGAACCCUAGAUUGGACAUUCUUUUUCUCUCUUUUCUAUGCACAGUGGCACUGCCACUAUUCAAGAUUCUUCCUCAGCAAUAUCUCGUUGUCCCCAGCGAAGGUAAACCUCGAAACCCCCAAAAACUUCUUAAAUCUUAUUUUGGUGUACGAUUAGGGUAAUUUUGAGAUGUUUUGAUGUAGAAAUGCCUCGGGGGGAGCUUCCCCAGUUUUUCGAUGACAAAUCCGGCGACUUCGAGCCAUUUUCCGACCAAUCCUGACCAUAACUCGACUUGAUUUUUGGUAUAAAAUUCUUCUCCUCUCUCUAAGCUUCAGAUCCAUAUAUAAAUUGCUAAGUUUGGUGGUAUUUCGAGCUUGAAUAAAGCUCUGUGAUUUGUUGCCCCGUUCCUGCCUUCUUCUUCAUUGGGUCCGGUGAGUGCGACCUGCGAGCCCAAUCAGUUCAACCUGACCCGAUACAAAAAAAAACCCAAACCCGGUUCCAAACCACCCCAAACCUGGUUCCAAACCACCCCAAACCUGGAUCCAACCCAACCGGUUCCUAAAUAGAUUUGGAAUAUUCUCGAAAUAUUCUUGAAAUAUAUUUGGAAUAUUCCUUGUGUUGAUUUUUUCAAAAUCUUUUAUGAAACCCUGCUUGGCUAAUUUCGAUGCCCCGAGUUCGUUUUUUAUAUCCAUUUACUAAAAUUCCAAGGUUAAUGUAGUUGACUGCCAGGCGGUUCAGUUAACUUUUUGGGUUGGCCAUUGACUUUUUAAGAUAAUUGCUCAAAACCCUUCUUAGCGUAUUUCGACGCACUAAUUCAGAGUCUGCCGUCCGUUUCUCCAAAUUCAAAAGUUUUAAUUAAGUUUUACUAAUGGGUCUGUAUUAUGCUUAGGUAGGAUUAACAUCGGCGAUCCGCAUCUACUCGUUCGAACGACUAUGACUUCACAAAUAGAUGUGAGUGGGUCUUUUCUUUUAUGUAGUGUGUGUGUAUAUAUAUAUUUGUUUAUUUUCCAUAUAUAUAUUGUUAAUGAAUUUUCUACGUGAUGCCAUAAUUAAUUUAACAUUUAUAAGAAAUGUUGUAAUGAUAAAAAUUAGGAAAUCAUUAUAAAUCCUACGGGAUGCCUUAAUUAGAUUUACGACUAUGAAUAGUAUUAUAUUGACUAGAAUCAUCGAAUCACUAUGGCUUGACUAUAUUUACGUUAUCUGCUUAUCGUGUGUUACAUUGGUGUUAGUACUCGCCCGUGGCAGGACCAGGCUUUACGUGUAUGUUCACAUCGCACUGUAUGCUCGCUUUGGAUCCAUUGUAGGUGCCAAUCCUGUCCUAGAUUGCUAUAGGCAGUUAGGACUCAUAUGUGAUGCACAUAGCACCAGUCUUCAUGUGAUUGUAGUACUAGAGCGUAGAUCAUUAUUACACUCAGUCCUAUUCAUGUCAUAAUACCUCUACAUGAACUCGUGUGUCCGCAUAUGUCGAUGAGCACUCGAUAUGAUAUGUUUGUUUAUGCGAGAUUAUAUGUUACUGGACAUUAUGUAUUUAUUUACGAAAUAUUGUGAUGUAUUUCACUCUUGAGAUAUUGUCGGCUACGGUAAGUAUUUUGACACUAUACGUAGUAUGUUAUAUUUUGAAACUAUACUUGUUUUACGGUAAGGGGUUAUUACAUUUUUUCAAAAAGGUUUUUACAAUGCUUUAUUUUAGGCCCACUCACGCUUUGUUUUUCGCCCCUGCAGGUUUUAGUAGCAGAGCUUUCUUAUUGGCGUGGAUACUUGACAAAUGUUGGUAUAGAAGAGUACCUUUGAUGGUAUAGUUUUUAUCCUACUUUUACGGUACUUUACUUAUGCUUUGACAUCACGUGUGAAUUGGGUUCAAUCUCGCUCACAUUCGCACUCUUACAUUUAGGUUUAAAUUUACUCAUAUUUUCCACAUCACUACACUUUAUGGCUUCGUCACCUUCCUAGUGUCGGCCAACACAACUCGAUUCAAAGUCCAGAUGGGCAUUCCGGACUGGGGUGUGUCACAUUGGAUAUUUCCUUUCUCGUUGACUCUUUGCUCCUUGGAAUAUUGGCUCUUUGCUUGCUCAUUUGCACAUUGAGGCUUGGAUGAAUAGAAUCAGCAAGCACCAAAAGAAUGGCACCUCUAAGUCUCAACAUCAAGGGUGAGAUGUGAAGACAAAAUAGACUUAGGAGAAGUUUUGAUGCUAGUAAAACUUCCUCUAAGGGCCAGCUGCAAAGAUAGGAAAGGGAAAGUGUUUCGUGUCUCCAAACUCCUUUCUCGCAACCUUAAUGAGUUUUGGCUGUAAUGCAAAUUAUAUACCCACUCACAAAUCAGCGGCAUAGAUGAAAUUAUGUUCUUGUCUAUGUGUGGCUUGUUUUGAUAUGGUCCUCAAGGACUAAAGACCAUUGAGCCUCGAAACGCAAACUAAUCUAAAGCCUAAUACAAACCUUUCGUACGAAUAAUUAGCUAAUUAAUUAAUCAUGACCAUAUCAAUUAAACUAUUUAAUUGCUUAUCCAUCUUAAUCAUAUUUCUUCAAUCUCGACCUAACAUGGUGUAAGAUCCAUUAGGCUUUAUUUAGUGAGGCAGUGGGUGAUGGUAACUCUUACUAAUCGAUUUGUGAAUUAAAACAUAUUUAAUUUUACCUUAGAUGAAGAUUAGCGAUUGCCAAUCUUUAGGGCUUCCACAAAUCAUGAGUGACACCUAACAGUAUGUCAUGGCUACCCAAUCUAGGUAGAAGUGAUUGGAUAAACUAUUUAGUUACAACUAUAAUGCAAUACAGUUCUUCUGGAAUUCAAUAUUCUUAACCACAUGGUUUGGUUGAUAGUUUAUUUCAUGUCUACUAUCGAAUUUGAUACUUCUCUAUAUGAUUUGGAAUAUUUUUCCUAAGUCAUAUUAAUAUGCUUUGGCCAAAAACUCUUGGACCAUAUCUUAGAGUAUUCUCUUUCCACCAUGGAAGGUUAGAAAUUCCUUGUUGUACAUUCACAUGUUUCUAUAAAUAAAUUAAUGACCUUAACAAUGCUAGGAACAUGCCCAAGAUGAGGCAUGUACUUUGUUACAUUGUCAAAUGAUUAAAGAUGUACCCACAAGGCAUAUGUGGUGUCUCAGGUCAAAUGACUACUUUACAUUAUUGCAACCAAUGAGUUCAUACAUGACAUGUAUGUCAGAGCUUUCUGUUGGUCGUUGUUUAGUGUACUCAACAACCUUUGGAGAACUUAUGUGUUUGUCUUAGUGUCUAGCACUAAUGACUUUGAGAUUAGUCAUAAUCCUGAAUAAGUUGACAUAACACAUACUAGCCUUAACGGAUUGUCAAUGACAAUCCUAUGUCUCGAAACAUUUUAGAAAUGAACAUAAGAGAAAGGUCUAAUUGAUCUAACACUUGUAUUACUUCUCUCUUAGGUUAAUUCCAUUCAUUGAAUUUUGUUAUUAAUUGAUUAAAUAUAUAAUACAUUAAAUAGUAAUUAACAAUAAACAAUGCUCUUUCAUUAACCUAAAUAAAAACUAAUACAUAAAUAUUCCAAAAGUUAUUACAUUAAAUGAGUGACUAUAAGAGCAUACUUCUAAUAAAUUAAUCAUUCAUACGGUCAUUGGAAUAACUAUCAUCUUCCGUAGGUUUAUGACUUAGAGUAAACUGUCAUUUAACCCCCUGAACUAUCACGUGAGUUUCAAUUUCCCCCCUGAACUAUUUUUUUAGCCAAUUGACCCCCUAAACUAUGUUAAAGUGGCCAAUUAACCCCCUACCGUUA
rnacentral:lncRNA from 1 species